rnacentral:rRNA from 1 species
CUAAGACCGCAUAAGCUCCCGGUGGUUAGAGGACGGGGAGAAAAGGCGCAAGCGGCUUGCGGAGCGGGCUGCGGACCAUCAGGUAGUUGGUGGGGUAAAGGCCUACCAAGCCGACGACGGAUAGGGGGUCUGAGAGGGUGGUCCCCCACACUGGGACUGAGACACGGCCCAGACUCCUACGGGAGGCAGCAGUGAGGAAUAUUGGUCAAUGGGCGCAAGCCUGACGCAUCAACGCCGCGUGUGGGAAGACUGCUUUCGGGUUGUAAACCACUUUCAGGGGGGACGAAGCUUCCGAGGUUAAUAGCCUACGGGGUGACGGUACCCCCAGAACAAGCCCCGGCUAACUUCGUGCCAACAGCCGCUGUAUACGAAGGGGGCUAGCGUUGUUCGGAAUUACUGGGCGUAAAGCGCACGUAGGCGGACUAUUAAGUCAGGGGUGAAAUCCCGGGGCUCAACCCCGGAACUGCCUUUGAUACUGGUAGUCUCGAGUCCGGAAGAGGUGAGUGGAAUUCCGAGUGUAGAGGUGAAAUUCGUAGAUAUUCGGAGGAACACCAGUGGCCAAGGCCGCUCACUGGUCCGGUACUGACGCUGAGGUGCGCAAGCGUGGGGAGCAUACAGGAUUAGAUACCCUGGUAGUCCACGCCGUCAACGAUGGAAGCUAGCCGUUGGCAAGUUUACUUGCCGGUGUCGCAGCUCACGCGUUAAGCACUCCGCCUGGGGAGUACGGCCGCAAGGUUGAAACUCACAGGAAUUGACGGGGGACCGCACAAGCGAUGGAGCAUGUGGUUUAAUUCGA